rnacentral:rRNA from 1 species
GAGUUUGAUCAUGGCUCAGAUUGAACGCUAGCGGGAGCCUUACACAUGCAAGUCGAACGGCAGCACGGACUUCGGUCUGGUGGCGAGUGGCGAACGGGUGAGUAAUGUAUCGGAACGUGCCCAGUAGCGGGGGAUAACUACGCGAAAGCGUAGCUAAUACCGCAUACGCCCUACGGGGGAAAGCAGGGGAUCGUAAGACCUUGCACUAUUGGAGCGGCCGAUAUCGGAUUAGCUAGUUGGUGGGGUAGCGGCUCACCAAGGCGACGAUCCGUAGCUGGUUUGAGAGGACGACCAGCCACACUGGGACUGAGACACGGCCCAGACUCCUACGGGAGGCAGCAGUGGGGAAUUUUGGACAAUGGGGGAAACCCUGAUCCAGCCAUCCCGCGUGUGCGAUGAAGGCCUUCGGGUUGUAAAGCACUUUUGGCAGGAAAGAAACGUCAUGGGUUAAUACCCCGUGAAACUGACGGUACCUGCAGAAUAAGCACGGCUAACUACGUGCCAGCAGCCGCGGUAAUACGUAGGGUGCAAGCGUUAAUCGGAAUUACUGGGCGUAAAGCGUGCGCAGGCGGUUCGGAAAGAAAGAUGUGAAAUCCCAGAGCUAAACUUUGGAACUGCAUUUUUAACUACCGGGCUAGAGUGUGUCAGAGGGAGGUGGAAUUCCGCGUGUAGCAGUGAAAUGCGUAGAUAUGCGGAGGAACACCGAUGGCGAAUGCAGCCUCCUGGGAUAACACUGACGCUCAUGCACG